AUUGAACGCUGGCGGCAGGCCUAACACAUGCAAGUCGAGCGGAUGCAGGGAGCUUGCUCCUGGAUUCAGCUGCGGACGGGUGAGUAAUGCCUAGGAAUCUGCCUGUUAGUGGGGGAUAACGUCCGGAAGCGGGCGCUAAUACCCCAUACGUCCUGAGGGCGAACGUGGGGGAUCUUCGGACCUCACGCUAUCAGAUGAGCCUAGGUCGGAUUAGCUAGUUGGGGUGGUAACGGCCUACCAAGGCGACGAUCCGUAACUGGUCUGAGAGGAUGAUCAGUCACACUGGAACUGAGACACGGUCCAGACUCCUACGGGAGGCAGCAGUGGGGAAUAUUGGACAAUGGGCGAAAGCCUGAUCCAGCCAUACCGCGUGUGUGAAGAAGGUCUUCGGAUUGUAAAGCACUUUAAGUUGGGAGGAAAAGCAGUAAGUUAAUACCUCGCUGUUUUGACGGUACCAAAAGAAUAAGCACCGGCUAACUUCGUG
rnacentral:rRNA from 1 species